AAGGAGCACCACGAAAAGGGUUCAAGACACUGGGUCUUACCCGAGCCGUGAGGAACCGGUUGCCUGUAGUGGGCACGGUUUGGUGCACAACAAACGUUGAGCUGGCGCGGGAAAGCGUUGGUGAUGGACUGCCGGACACACUAUUGGGCUUUGAGACAACAGGCCCGCGGUCCUGUCCCGUUGGGGGCAGGGGGUGUGUUGUUGCCUCACUUUGGUGGUGGGGUGUGGUGUUUGAUUUGUGGAUAGUGGUUGCGAGCAUCUAGCACGCAGAGUGUGGCUGGGGGCCUUCGGGUUUCUGGUCUCGUUUGUGUGUUAAUGUGCAAUUUCUUUUGAAACUCAUUUUUGGUUUUUGUG
rnacentral:misc_RNA from 1 species